AGGCUAACUGUCAAUCGAGAUUACUUUAUCCACAUUAUAUUUCAACCUUUCAAAUCCAUCUCAUGGAUUAUCCUGAUCAAGAUUUUAUUAAAUUAAAAUACAGUGAUACAUCAACUCCAAUAAUUUGAAGGGGUCAAUCUUAUCUUGAUCCACACACAGUCUUCACAAGUACUUGACUGUACCUAGUAGCCUUUCAUCACUGUAUUAAAAAUUCAGAUAGUUCGACAUCAAGACACAGUGAGUUGCUUGCAAGUCACUAUGGUGAUCUCAAGUUUGAAGGACAUUUACACUCAUGUAUUUUGCGAGCAGCUCUUGACAGCAGAAUGCUC
rnacentral:lncRNA from 1 species